rnacentral:tRNA from 1 species
GCGAGUGUGCUGGAAUCGGUAGACAGGCACGUUUGAGGGGCGUGUGACAACCGUCGUGUGCGUUCAAGUCGCAUCACUCGCACCA